UGCUUUCUCGAUCAGAAGAAUUCGAGUUAUGAAAUGAAUACCUGAAUCAGGCAGAAUUGAGAAAUUCAUAGACAGCCACUGCCCAUUUCUUAAACAUCAAACUUUUCUUUUCUUCGAGCUUGAAUUAAUAAUGAAGAAACCAUGCGAAAUGUUUCGAGAAAUGUGGACCCAAUCGGCCAAAUUCAUCAUUGAAGCAGCAAAAACUACAAAUAAGAAACAAGUAGCAUCUCUAUUAUCGUCCAAACCUUUUCAGAACAUGUCGCCUGAAAUGUGUUCGAGAGCUGCUCUUGAAUUAUUACCAUUCUUGGUUCCUGGAAAAGGAAGAGGUAAUAAAGCAGCUCGACAUUUGGUCGAUUCCAGAAUGG